GCCGGGGUGGCCCAGCCAGGUGAAGGCGGCAGGUUGCUAACCUGUUGGCGCGUAAGCGCUUCCAGGGUUCAAAUCCCUGCCCCGGCGCCA
rnacentral:tRNA from 2 species